rnacentral:misc_RNA from 1 species
GAGAUAGGGUCUUCACGGCCCGACCUCCAACCCUCUGUUGUUAAAACUACCUUGUUGCUUUGGCGGGACCGUCUCGGUCUCCGAGCGCACUAACCCUCGGGUUGGUGAGCGCCCGCCAGAGUCCAACCAAACUCUUGUAUUAAACCAGUCGUCUGAGUAUAAAAUUUUAAUUAAAUUAAAACUUUCAACAACGGAUCUCUUGGUUCU